rnacentral:misc_RNA from 1 species
UGGUUCUGGCAUCGAUGAAGAACGCAGCGAAAUGCGAUACGUAAUGUGAAUUGCAGAAUUUAGUGAAUCAUCGAAUCUUUGAACGCAUAUUGCGCUCCCCAGCAUUCUGGGGAGCAUGCCUGUUCGAGCGUCAUUUCGACCCUCAAGCACCUGUUGCUUGGUUCUGGGGCCCGCCGCGGCGGGCCCUGAAAUGCAUUGGCAGAGCCGGUCAGCACUCUGAGCGUAGUAAACACCAUCGCUCCUGAGGGCUGCCGGCGCCUCGCCGUAAAACAACAACUUAUCCAAAGUUUGACCUCGGAUCAGGUAGGAAUACCCGCUGA